rnacentral:rRNA from 1 species
AUUGAACGCUGGCGGCAGGCUUAACACAUGCAAGUCGAGCGGUAGCACAGGGGAGCUUGCUCCCUGGGUGACGAGCGGCGGACGGGUGAGUAAUGUCUGGGAAACUGCCUGAUGGAGGGGGAUAACUACUGGAAACGGUAGCUAAUACCGCAUAACGUCGCAAGACCAAAGAGGGGGACCUUCGGGCCUCUUGCCAUCAGAUGUGCCCAGAUGGGAUUAGCUAGUAGGUGGGGUAAUGGCUCACCUAGGCGACGAUCCCUAGCUGGUCUGAGAGGAUGACCAGCCACACUGGAACUGAGACACGGUCCAGACUCCUACGGGAGGCAGCAGUGGGGAAUAUUGCACAAAGGGCGCAAGCCUGAUGCAGCCAUGCCGCGUGUGUGAAGAAGGCCUUCGGGUUGUAAAGCACUUUCAGCGAGGAGGAAGGUGGUGAACUUAAUACGUUCAUCAAUUGACGUUACUCGCAGAAGAAGCACCGGCUAACUCCGUG